rnacentral:rRNA from 1 species
UACGGAGGGAGCUAGCGUUGUUCGGAAUUACUGGGCGUAAAGCGCACGUAGGCGGCUUUGUAAGUUAGAGGUGAAAGCCCGGGGCUCAACCCCGGAAUUGCCUUUAAGACUGCAUCGCUAGAAUCAUGGAGAGGUAAGUGGAAUUCCGAGUGUAGAGGUGAAAUUCGUAGAUAUUCGGAAGAACACCAGUGGCGAAGGCGACUUACUGGACAUGUAUUGACGCUGAGGUGCGAAAGCGUGGGGAGCAAACAGG